AGAGAGACCGCCCACCAUCAGGCGAUCCUCAGCCCGUCAGACGCGCGCUGCACUGCAGAGCCGGAAUGGGGGGUUCGGCCCCGGGCCACCACCAUUCUAUUAAGCCAGAUAGUGGGAGCGGGUGGUCGGAUCCUGUCUUCUGCAGCCUUGUAUGGGAUGCAAGAGUCCCCGCAAGGCUGCUUCGGCCACUUGGGUCUUUUCCUGUGCGCGAGCGACUUUCCAGCAGCCUUUCUGGAGCGAAGCAGCAAGUUUACAGUGAAAGGACAAGAACAAAGGCUUCAUCUGCAAAAUGGAGUGCUUUGAAUGCUUCAAAAUGACACCAACAGAACCCAUAGGGAAUCCAAUAAGAGCUGACAGCCGCGUUCCUGAACCUGGUGGCGCGGAGAGGAACUGCCACGAAAAAUCAACAUUCCUCCUGUAUGAUGUAGGAUAGACAAUGGCUGUGCCAUUUACACCAUCUGGGGAUAUUAUGUCCUAAUGUAUAUUAUUUUUAUUUUCUAAAUCAUGUAUAUCCUUAUUUUUUACGGUUAUGGCGGGCGGCGCAGAUUAAAUAUGACGCUGGGGCUUUUCCCCUUCUAUGUGAUUAAUAAUAUUUUAGACAAACCUGGGACUCUAAGCCUUGAUGAUAUGCUCUGUGGAGAGCGCGUCAGUUGAGACACACAGCACCUCAAGACGGACUCGAGCGACUGGAGCUUCACUAAAGACCCACAUGUCUGUGUUUGCAAACUCUACGUGGGCCCUCGAGGGCCUGGAACCUCACGGCGGCAGCAACAGCGUGUCUUCCACUUAUCCACUUCUACUUUGCACGGCAGGAAUUGUUCAUCCACCUCAUUAUUCAUAGUGUAGCUUCUGUAAGCAAACAAAAUGUGUCAAGUCUACAUGUCAGUGAUCUUUAUACAUGAAUUUACUGGGAACGAUACUACAUGACAAACUAUGUUGAAGAUUUCCCCAAUUGGCUACAAUUUGAUUUUGUGAGUGCAACCUCAUAACCUCAAAAAUGUCUUUUUGUUUUACACAAUAUAACAUUUUUGAAAAACAAGAAAAGCCUUUUCCAGUGUUGCUGGCAUUGACCAGCAUUUCUGUUAAUUGGCCGACCUGCGCAAUGAUCACGAUGUAUCCAUCGGUGUCUAUCACUACCAAACCCACACACACCCAAAAAACGGUGUUUCACCCCGAAAAACACACUCAGAUCCGUUCAUAUGUGAAUACUUUGUAUUAGCACCGGACCUGUCGCCAUUACAAAACUGUAAUUUCAAUCCAUACUUACAUACCUUACAGUAUUUACUAAGGCUCAGAGUCCCCACUUUCCAUGCAGUUUCUUAAAAAAAGCUAUGGAGUUCUUUAUUGUUUUUAAUUUUUUAGAAUUUGCUUGUUAGUUUUUAGUUGCUUUGCCAGUAUAUUAAAGUGUAAUCAUGUACGUUGUGAUAUAGAAUAGCUUUAGAGAUGCAUUGUUUCCUUGUGGUAAGUGAUCGAGAUGCUGCCACGGAUUUGAGACACUGAUGAAUGGUGCUAUUUUGGACUUUAAUCUGCUCCUUGGUAAGGAAGCUCAGAUGGGUUUGUAUUUUCAUGUUCGGAGGAGGUGUUCUUUGUUGUCUGGUUGUCGUAACUUGGAUCGGAUUGACUUUAUUUCCCCCCUUUCGUUUCUGUGUGGCUUUCUCAAUGGACAUCAAAACAGACUUGGCAAAUCUUCCUUGGAGAUUUACAGAACUCUUAAACUCUAGACAGUUGGAGCAAUCACAAAACUGCAAUUAUGAACACCCGUUAAUAUAAAGGUUUAAUUCAAGGAGUAGGCACAAGUCUCUUAUGGCAAUAGUCAACUUUGCAUAGUCCAUACCAAAUUACAAUGUAUUGUUUCUGAACUACAUCAAGGACACGUUAAAAUAUUACCGUAAUGACCUGUCCUAACCAAAUGCAACGCGACAUAGGGUAGAACUACUAUUUCUUAAUUCUCAUUGGCCCAAAAUCCAGCUUCACAUAACACAUGCAUUAAACGUUUGAAAUCGUGUCACGCGUUGUCAGUUUGGGCAGACGCAUUGCUUUUGAUGAAAACUUGUUUAGGACACGGUUUGAAACAACAUGGAGGAUUGUUCCAGGCCGUUGAAGUUUGCUGUGCACAGUCCCAGGGUGACGGGUUAUAUAGUGUAUAUAUACCAGGGCAGCUGAGGACAGAAUUCUUGCAUCAACUGGGAACGUUAAUAAAUAGAAAAAUGACUCGUCUGUUUAGUGCACGGGGUCCUUUGAUGUAUUUUCUAAUGCAAAAAUGUAGCAUCAAUAGUCUCAUUGAUAUUGGGUCAAUGAGUUUUAUGGGUUUUAGGAACCCAAAGCUUUAUAUUUAUUCUUUUGGGUGAUUAAUCUAAGUAGCAAGUUAUCGUUGCUCUGUAUUUGCAGUUUUGUCUUUGCUUCUAGUUAACAUACUUGUAACAAUCAUAACACAAUAACCAACUGAAAGCCCACGUUAUUUUCUUAGUCUUCCAUUUGUACAACUAUAGCGGGGACCUUCCCAACUCAAUCUAGUCUUUCCUUAGUGCAUAUCGACUGCAUGAUCUUUGCUUUUCAGUUUCCUUUUUUUAUAUCGUGAAAAUAAUUCUAAACACAGUUUCUUCUGAUAGACUAGGUAAAGCCAACUGUGUUGUAAAUAGCUAGUGAAUAGCUUGUAGUAUGUUGAAAUGUUCUGUGUAACUGUGUGUGAUUGGUGUACAAAACAUGAAGUUUAGCUUUGUGAUCUUUAUAAUGAUGCCCUAGUAUUUCAUGUCAUUUUGCAACUUAAGCUCUAGUUGAAUAAAUAUGCAAGCUCUGA